rfam:Schistosoma rodhaini strain Burundi genome assembly, scaffold: SROB_scaffold0004683
AUCCAGUUGACGAGUCCCAUACAGGACGAAUUGUUCGUCUUGGAU